UAACUAGGUCCCCAAACAUUUCAACACUUCACUUAUUUUUCUUACAAAUUUUUUUUUUCAACUCUAGGUCCUUGAUCAAAUGUCUCAGCAUUAGAUUGGGUUUUAAGAUCUGGCUAAAAAUUCAACAUGUAUAUCAUAUCACUGGAAUUGCCACAGAAGAAAAAAUAUGUAUAGAGGAAAAAAAAUAUAUAUUUAAAUAAGAAAAAUAAAAGGGACGCAUAUUUUAUUGAUAGAAAAGAUAGAAUGGUUUGAACUCAACAAUAAGAAAAUAAAACAACAUAGAUCCCAAACAACAACCCUUAAAUUAUUCGGAAAACAGAAGAAAAAUAAAACAGACUACCAAAACUCCUUCGUGGAGAGCAAAAUAACUUCAAAAUUAUCGAGCUUGACAUUUGGCCAUUGAUUUGCACUUCAGUAUUAAUGGGGUCUCCACAAGCAUUACUACAUCAUCCAUUUUCCUUCUUGACCCCAAAAGUAUCUUGAACUAUUCUAAAUUUUCACCAUCAAAUUCUCUCCAAAUUAAGCCAUUAGCAAUUCCUCUUUUCCUCUGUUCCUCUUAGUUGAUUACACAACCUUUUCAGAUGAGCCAAAGGAUCACCACAUCCCUCGUACAUAUCCAACUUUGAUAUUUUGGACUCUAAACUCAAGUGAACAUUGUGAAACAUGUACAAAUCCUUGUAAGAAACACUUUUUUCUUCUUCCACUACUUACAUGUUUCUCAUAUUUUGCUCCAAACUUCUUAUUUCCCUGGCCAUUUCUUCUUAUUCCUCAUUUCUAAUUGUUUAUUCCACCUCAUCUCAGACCUUAUAUCACUUUCUGUGGGUUAUCUUACCUUUUUUUUUGGAUCUAGAGUUGUAUAAAUGAGAAGCCAACGUAGCCACAAACCAACCACCUUAACACUAUUUUGAUUUUGGUAAAAAAACUAAUGCGUCAAAGUUUAAUUUUUUUUAAGAUCACCGAAUCCAUGAAGGACA
rnacentral:lncRNA from 1 species